rnacentral:tRNA from 1 species
GGCCUCAUAGCUCAAUUGUCUAGAGCGUUGGCGGAGGCUUCCCCUUGCUGUCGUAGGUUCGAUUCCUACGGAGGUCG